rnacentral:rRNA from 1 species
GAUGAACGCUGGCGGCGUGCCUAAUACAUGCAAGUCGAGCGAACAGACGAGGAGCUUGCUCCUCUGACGUUAGCGGCGGACGGGUGAGUAACACGUGGAUAACCUCCCUAUAAGACUGGGAUCACUUCGGGAAACCGGCGCUAAUACCGGAUAAUAUAUUGAACCGCAUGGUUCAAUAGUGAAAGACGGUUUUGCUGUCACUUCUAGCUGGAUCCGCGCCGCAUUAGCUAGUUGGUAAGGUAACGGCUUACCAAGGCGACGAUGCGUAGCCGACCUGAGAGGGGGAUAGGCCACACUGGAAGUGAGACACGGUCAAGACGCCUACGGGAGGCAGCAGUAGGGAAUCUUCCGCAAUGGGCGAAAGCCUGACGGAGCAACGCCGCGUGAGUGAUGAAGGUCUUCGGAUCGUAAAACUCUGUUAUUAGGGAAGAACAAAUGUGUAAGUAACUAUGCACGUCGUGACGGUACCUAAUCAGAAAGCCACGGCUAACUACGUG